AGUCGUAACAAGGUAACCGUAGGUGAACCUGCGGUUGGAUCAUUAUUGAUUUUCCAUUGUGACUAGGCUUUUGUCUAUGAACAAUGCUAUCGGUUUCGUCUUUACUAGGCAACUAGUCUAGACUGAGACCAACACCCUAUGUGAACUUGUUUUUACUAUGGGAAUUGGACAGUAGUAGGAGUUUUCCUAUGAAAGUCUGUUCCCUCUAUAAACAUUGACCAUAGUCUAUUGAGUACCUUAAUCUCCUAGGACUUUCCUAAGGGACUAUAGCGAAAGAUACUGAGAAUACCAGAGAAAACCAUACUAAAAGUAAACAACUUUUGACAACGGAUCUCUUGGCUCUC
rnacentral:misc_RNA from 1 species